rnacentral:misc_RNA from 1 species
GGGUUGGGCAAUGCCUUUUAAUUUUAUAUCCCACAAUCUGAUCCCUUGCAAGAGCUUGAUCAAACAUACGAGCCAGCAAAUCAGAUAUACCAAAAGCAAAAAGUAAGGGGACAUAGGGUCACUAAUCCUUUGGAAGGAGACAUGUAUUGGGAUUUAGCUCCAUUGAUGAUCAUUUAUAACUGUAGUUAUGCCCUUAUAGAUCUAGGACACCGAUUUCUCGCCGAAACCAAGCCUAGUCAUAAUGGAAAUCAGGAAAAAUUCCAAUUGACACCUUCAGAGGCUUUUUGAAUAUACUUGGGAGUAUAUAUUCACACAUACUAUAAUGUGCAUUAUUUUUUAGUCUACCUGUAAUAUUGUAUGAAUAUCCCCUUGAAUUG